rnacentral:rRNA from 1 species
GUGCUAAGGUAGCAUAAUCAUUUGUUUUUUAAUUGAAAACUAGAAUGAACGGCUUAACAGGUGCACGGGAUUUUAUGGGGGCUACUUGAAUUUUUGGUUUAAGUAAAAAUACUUAGAUGAUUAAGAGGGACGAUAAGACCCUAAAAUCUUUAGAUUUUAGUUUAAGUAGUGGUGGGUAUGGUAUUUAUUAUUAGCUGGGGUAGUUUUUUUGGUUAACUCAAGAUUUAUUUUACAAGGUGGUUGGUUAAUGGGUCCUUUUUAUUUGGAUAGUUGGAGUAAGUUACUUUAGGGGUAACAGCGUAAUAUUUUUGGAGAGUUCUUAUUGAUAAAAAUGAUUGCGACCUCGAUGUUGAAUUAAGUGAUCACCACAAAGCAAAAGGUGUGGGAGAGGGUUUGUUCAACCUUUAAAGAUUUACAUGAUUU